rnacentral:rRNA from 1 species
GUGGCGACCGUUGUUCGGAAUCACUGGGCUUAAAGGGCAUGUANGCGGUGCGCCAAGUGUCUUGUGAAAUCCCUCGGCUCAACCGAGGAAUUGCUGGGCAAACUGGCGCACUUGAGGCAGGUAUGGGUUUUUUNAGCUCUUGGUGGAGCGGUGAAAUGCGUAGAUAUCAAGAGGAACGCCGGUGGUGAAGACGACUCACUGGGCCUGUCCUGACGCUGAGGUGCGAAAGCCAGGGGAGCAAACGGGAUUAGAUACCCCGGUAGUCCUGGCCCUAAACGAUGUCUACUAGAUCGGAGUCACUCUGACGUGUUUCCGGCCGAAAUGAAAACGGUAAGUAGACCGCCUGGGGAGUACGGUCGCAAGGCUAAAACUCAAAGGAAUUGACGGGGGCUCACACAAGCGGUGGACAUGUUGUUCAAUUCGAUGCAACGCGAAAAAACCUUAUCCUGGGCUUGACAUGCACGGAUGCCUACCCCGAA